rnacentral:misc_RNA from 1 species
GAUGAAGAACGCAGUGAAAUGCGAUACGUAGUGUGAAUUGCAGAAUUCCGUGAACCAUCAAAUCUUUGAACGCAUAUUGCGCUCGAGGCUUCGGCCGAGAGCAUGUCUGCCUCAGCGUCGGUAUUACCCCUCGCUUCUCAACCCCUGGUUGAUGCCUGCCUGCCUUUGCAGUUGGCUAGAAGCGGAUCUGGAUUUCCCAAUUGCCUUUGGUAGUUGGGUCAGCUGAAGCACAGAGGCUUGAGCAAGGACCCUUAUUGGGCUUCAACUGGAUAGGUAGAACUGGUCUUAGGACCAACUACACGAAGUUGUUGCUUGUGGUCUUUGUCUGGAGGCCAGCAGGAAACCUUUAUACCUUCGACCUGAGCUCAGGCAAGAUUACCCGCUGAACUUAAGCAUAUCAAUAAGCGGAGGA